rnacentral:misc_RNA from 1 species
GCAAACUUGGUCAUUUAGAGGAAGUAAAAGUCGUAACAAGGUCUCCGUAGGUGAACCUGCGGAGGGAUCAUUACCGAGUGAGGGCCUCUGGCCCGACCUCCAACCCUUUGUGUUAUAACUCUGUUGCCUCGGGGGUGACCCGGCCCCGUCGGAGCCCCCGACGGACCAUUUAUCAAACUCUGCAUUUUUGCGUCGGAUUGAAGAAGAAAAUUGAUUUAAAACUUUCAACAACGGAUCUCUUGGUUCUGGCAUCGAUGAAGAACGCAGC